rnacentral:rRNA from 1 species
GACGAACGCUGGCGGCGUGCUUAACACAUGCAAGUCGAACGGAAAGGCCCUGCUUUUGUGGGGUGCGCGAGUGGCGAAAGGGUGAGUGUCACGUGAGUAACCUGCCCUUGACUUUGGGAUAACUCCAGGAAACUGGGGCUAAUACCGGAUAGGAGCACCUGCUGCAUGGUGGGGGUUGGUAAGUUUCGGCGUUUGGGGAUGGACUCGCGGCAUAUCAGCUUGUUGGUGGGGUAGUGGCUUACCAAGGCAUUGACGGGUAGCCGGCCUGGGAGGGUGACCGGCCACAUUGGGACUCAGAUACCGCCCGUAGUGCUACUGGAGCCGGCAGUGAGGAAUAGUGCACAAUGGGCGGAAGCCGGAUGCAGCGACGCCGCGUGCGGGAUGACUGCCUUCGGGUUGUAAACCGCUUUCGCCUGGGACGAAGCGUGAGUGACGGUAAUGGGUAAAGAAGCAACGGCUAACUACGUG